CGUUGGCGGUGUGCCUAAUACAUGCAAGUCGAGCGAGAAAGCCGGGGCAACUCGGCGAGUACAGCGGCGGAAGGGUGCGUAAUACAUGGAUAACGUACCUCCCAGUUGGGGAUAACCCUCCGAAAGGUGGGCUAAUACCGAAUGACGGCAACGGGUGGCAUCAUCUGUUGCUCAAAGACGCAAGUCGCUGGGAGAGCGGUCCAUGGCCUAUCAGCUAGUUGGCGGGGUAACUGCCCACCAAGGCGAUGACGGGUAGCCGGACUGAGAGGUUGAACGGCCACACUGGGACUGAGACACGGCCCAGACAUCUACGGAUGGCAGCAGUAGGGAAUCUUGCGCAAUGGGCGAAAGGCUGACGCAGCGACGCCGUGUGUGGGAGGAAGCCCUUCGGGGUGUAAACCCCUGUCAGGGGGGAAAARAAUCUGGCCGGCGAAAAKAGCCGGCUAGUGACGGKAUCCCCCAAAGAAGCGCCCGGGAACUCUGCGCCCCCAGCCGCGGGAAAAGACGGAGGGCRAGCGCUUUUCGGGAAUUUUGUGGGCAAAAAGCGCGCACGGGCGCUGUUUUAAGUCUGCGGUGAAAUCCCGGGGCUCAACUCCGGAUAUGCCGCGGAUACUGGCGGACUAGAGACCGGUAGAGGCGAGUGGAAUUCCUGGUGUAGCGGUGGAAUGCGUAGAUAUCAGGAAGAACACCGGUGGCGAAGGCGGCUCGCUGGGCCGGUUCUGACGCUCAGGCGCGAAAGCGUGGGGAGCAAACAGGAUUAGAUACCCUGGUAGUCCACGCCGUAAACGAUGGGCACUAGAUGCCGGGUCUAUAGACGGAUUCGGUGUCGCAGCUAACGCAUUAAGUGCCCCGCCU
rnacentral:rRNA from 1 species